GCAGUGGUGGUUCAGUGGUAGAGUUCUCACUUUCCAUUUGGGAGACCUGGGUUCAAUUCUCAGCCAAUGUA
rnacentral:tRNA from 1 species